UCAAAACUGUGGAAUAUAACUUAGUUUUUUCUCUAUCGACUACUACUGUAGUACAAUAUUACAUCGGGAUCGAAGUCGGGCUCGAAAAGCAAUUAAUUUAAAAACAACACACCGCGCCGAAAUUCAAUUUUUUGGAGGGUUCCACGUAGCCAUGUUGAACUUGAUCAUGAUGUUGUACGGGAGGAAGGGGCGAAAGAGAGUGACGCGAAAAGGAGAAGCAUGAUUAACUUUGGAUGGAAUUUAUGUUUUAACAGAACAUGAAGACAUUUACAUGUACGACCCUGUUUAGCGGUAGGAACAAUGUACAAAAUUUUAUCACGUGUCCUUGAAUGAAUAAUCGCCUCUGCUACUGAUAAUGUUACUGUUCCUUAGUCUGGGCUCUACACAUAAAAUGCCUGGCAGUAAAAACGUUUGGGCAAGCGCUAUUUAAAUUUUGUAAUAAUUAUUUAACACUUUUAAUCAUCUCUCUUAAAGAUGGAUUUUAACCAGAAUUUUCUCGUUUGGGAUUGGUUUCAGAAUUUUAGUCACUAAAGUGUUCCUCUGUUCAGCAUUUACAGAGUGUGUUGUACAAUGUAAUAAAAUAUUUAUUUAUUUCUUAAUGCAUACUCAAGAAUAUAUUCAGCACUCAUUUUGAUUAUUUAAAUAGUUGCAGUGUGGACUGUGCCUGAGACGAUUCCCCACAGCGCCGGCUAUGUAGACAGCUUGUGAAAAUGGUGAGAACCAUGCAGCUAAAAUUUUCAAUUAAUACAAAUAAACUAACAAUGUUUUUAUUAACUUGUACAUUUUAGCAUAGCGAAGACUAUGAAAAAUAUUGCAACAACUUGAAAUGCUAUAUACCACGUAAACAAGAUGAGGAAUCCAAAUGCUCACAAGAAAUGACAAAAGCAGCAUGAAGAUUAACACAAAGAAAUUGUGCCAGAAAAGUUUGAAGUAGCUAUGAGAAUGAUCAACAUUGAACUUGCUGAGCCUUCCUUCUGAAAGUAACUUGACCAGAUAUUUGGCUACCUAGUAUGAGUAUCUUUCUGCUACAUUAAAUAAAAUAUCGUGGAGGAACACGAAGAAAAGGGCUGCACAUCUCAGCAUAUUCAAGGUCAAGCAGCUUUUUACCAUAUCCUUAGUAUCUUGCUGCUAAAUGAAAGAAUUAUUGUGGAGGAGCAGAGAAAAGGGCACCUCAACAUGUUCAAGGUCAAGCAGAAAUUAGGAGCUAGAUGUGCUUCUCCAGAGCUGAAAACUUCUUGGCAUGAAGAGAAGAAAAAGCAAGAAGAAGCAGUUUUAAAUAUUGAUUACGUCUUCAUAGUACAAAGAAUGAUUCUAAAGAUAAUACUAUCUAUGAAAUUAGAAAACUGAAGUUGCGUUCUGAUGAAUGUGAGAAAUAAAGUCUUCAAAGAACAGGACACCAAAAGUGCCACUCUCAAAUCAAAGCACUCUAAAAGGCAGAGCAUAAGAAGAACUAAGACAAAUAAAGAAUCUAAAAGAGUCAAAUCUAUGGAUUUAGUAAUUGAACAGAGAUGGGCUAUUAGAGAUGAAAUAUCUGAGUUGCUACCGUUUUGCACAAAUGUGAUGCUUUUUUUUACUUAUCUUUAAUCGACACAUUCAAUGUUAGAUAAGAAAAAUAUACCUAGUGUUGUAUUUUUGACAGUGAAAGUUUUUUCUGAUACUUGAUUACAGAUUAAAACUGUUAAGUUUUUUAUUGUUUAAACAUUUAUUGGUUUGUUGUGUAAACUGCAAUCACAUACAUUUUAAUCUUGAUUUAUAUAUUACAUAUAUGUACAAGUCUAACUUAAAUAAUAAGUGCAUUGAUAUUAUUGUGGGAAAAAAUAAGACAAUCAAGGGUAGUCUGAAAGAGCUUUGCUGGCAGUAAGUUGCAGAUCUUGAUACCCAAG